rnacentral:rRNA from 1 species
GAUGAACGCUGGCGGCGUGCUUAACACAUGCAAGUCGAACGAAGCAUUUGCGACAGAUUUUUUCGGAAUGAAGUUGCUUAUGACUGAGUGGCGGACGGGUGAGUAACGCGUGGGUAACCUGCCUUGUACUGGGGGAUAGCAGCUGGAAACGGCUGGUAAUACCGCAUAAGCGCACAAUGUUGCAUGACAUGGUGUGAAAAACUCCGGUGGUAUAAGAUGGACCCGCGUCUGAUUAGCUAGUUGGUGAGAUAACAGCCCACCAAGGCGACGAUCAGUAGCCGACCUGAGAGGGUGACCGGCCACAUUGGGACUGAGACACGGCCCAGACUCCUACGGGAGGCAGCAGUGGGGAAUAUUGCACAAUGGAGGAAACUCUGAUGCAGCGACGCCGCGUGAGUGAAGAAGUAAUUCGUUAUGUAAAGCUCUAUCAGCAGGGAAGAUAGUGACGGUACCUGACUAAGAAGCUCCGGCUAAAUACGUG